rnacentral:misc_RNA from 1 species
UCACCAGAUCAAAACACACAGGCAUUCAAGGAAGUAGCCAUCAUCAGGCAUCCACGCAUUGGUGAAUACGCAUUUGGGUUCAUAACUUCGACUGUGAUCCUGCAGAACUAUUCUGGGGAAGAGGAGCUAUGCUGUGUCUAUGUUCCUACUAAUCAUCUGUAUAUUGGUGAUAUAUUCCUGGUCAAUACCAAAGAUGUUAUCAGACCGAGUCUCUCAGUUCGGGAAGGCAUUGAAAUUGUAGUGUCUGGGGGGAUGUCAAUGCCUCAGAUCCUUUCAACAUUGGAUUCACGCAUUCCAUUGCCAUUGGAUAGAAGUAGAUCGGACAGAAGCUGAGCUGAUGAAAAUAGCUGUAGAGGAGUCCAUUUAUUGCCUCCAUUGUUUCAGAUUGUCAUCAGAACAGCCACAAGAGUCAUUGGAAUGAGGAGAUUGUUGUGGGUAAUGCUGGAUUUGAGUUCAGAUAAAAAUUUUUGAUUGUUGGUAUAUCAAAUUCUGGUGGCAUAUGUAACAUUGAUUAUUGUUUAGAAUGUAGAUUUAGUGUUUGGUUGCAAAUAUAGUCUGGUGGAUAAUACAGGCAGAUAGGCUUUGGGUCCCUCUUUUCCCACUUAUUAGGACGGUCUCUUGGCAGUUGGCACUGAACUUGUAAUUCAUAGAUUAUUCAAAUCGUCAAAGUUUGCCUUUGUAGAUAAGAGUUAAUAUAUUUCAAGUUCAAUGGCGU